rnacentral:rRNA from 1 species
AUUGAACGCUGGCGGCAUGCUUUACACAUGCAAGUCGAACGGUAACAGGUUAAGCUGACGAGUGGCGAACGGGUGAGUAAUGCAUCGGAACGUGCCCGAUCGUGGGGGAUAACACUUCGAAAGAAGUGCUAAUACCGCAUACGAUCUGAGGAUGAAAGCGGGGGACCGUAAGGCCUCGCGCGAUCGGAGCGGCCGAUGUCAGAUUAGGUAGUUGGUGGGGUAAAGGCUCACCAAGCCGACGAUCUGUAGCCGGUCUGAGAGGACGACCAGCCACACUGGGACUGAGACACGGCCCAGACUCCUACGGGAGGCAGCAGUGGGGAAUUUUGGACAAUGGGCGCAAGCCUGAUCCAGCAAUGCCGCGUGCAGGAAGAAGGCCUUCGGGUUGUAAACUGCUUUUGUACGGAGCGAAAAGGCUCCCUCUAAUACAGGGGGCUCAUGACGGUACCGUAAGAAUAAGCACCGGCUAACUACGUGCCAGCCGCCGCAGUAAUAC